rnacentral:rRNA from 1 species
UACGGGGGGGGCAAGCGUUGUUCGGAAUUACUGGGCGUAAAGGGCUCGUAGGCGGCCAACUAAGUCAGACGUGAAAUCCCUCGGCUUAACCGGGGAACUGCAUCUGAUACUGGAUGGCUUGAGUUCGGGAGAGGGAUGCGGAAUUCCAGGUGUAGCGGUGAAAUGCGUAGAUAUCGGAAGGAACAUCAGUGGCGAAGGCGACUUCCUGGACCAAUACUGACGCUCAGGUGCGAAAGCGUGGGGAGCAAACAGG